rnacentral:lncRNA from 12 species
CAGAGCCUGAAGAGUCCUACCAGCUAUGGGAACAGCAGCUCCUUGGUGGAGAUUCAGUGAAGCAGGAAAGCUGGAAGGCGUAUCCUCUGCAUGUCAGGAUCAUCCCACAGACUGCCAGCAGUGAGCCUGGAAUGGCUCUGCUGUUUCAUCUCCUGGGAGCUGUUUUGCAGGACUUGUCCCCAGCUGCUGGGGCACUCCAGAGCUGCAUAAGUACCAAAAGAAAAUCAGGUAAGUGCCUUUAUACAUCACCUAAUCCUUCAGGCUUAUCUCAUUCUCUCUUUGUCUUGCUGCAAAGAUCACUGUAAGUCUUUGAGCAUGGCAAACUUCAUUCACCUCUGGA